rnacentral:rRNA from 1 species
CCUACGGGUGGCAGCAGUGAGGAAUAUUGGUCAAUGGGCGCGAGCCUGAACCAGCAAAGUAGCGUGAAGGAAGACUGCCCUACGGGUUGUAAACUUCUUUUAGAAAGGAAUGCAGUGAGGCAUAUGUGCCUUUUAGUAUGUACUUUAUGAAUAAGGAUCGGCUAACUCCGUGCGAGCAGCCGAGGUAAUACGUAGGAUGCGAGCGUGAUCCGGAUUUAUUGGGUUUAAAGGGAGCGUAGAUGGGUUGUUAAGUCAGUUGUGAAAGUUUGUGGCUCAACCGUGAAACUGCAAUUGAUACUGGCAGCCUUGAGUACAGUUGAGGUAGGCGGAAUUCGUGGUGUAGCGGUGAAAUGCUUAGAUAUCACGAAGAACUCCGAUUGCGAAGGCAGCCUACUAAACUGCCACUGACAUUGAGGCUCGAAAGUGUGGGUAUCAAACAGGAUUAGAUACCCGAGUAGUC